AACCAAAUUAGGCAACCAAAGAAGGAAAUAGAAAGUCAUCUUCUUCCAUCUCUAUGCCACCGCCAUUGAUGAUCUCCAAGCACCAGUCGCUUGCCGGAUAUCAACUUCCCAAUGUUGUAUCUCCAUCAUUUCAGCUGCUUCCACACUCAAACUUGACUCCGGAGAUCGGAAUCUAUGGAGACCUCCCAAUCUGAGAAAAUGCUGCUCUUGGGUGCUGCUAUAAAAUGCUCCAGCUGUCAUCUCUCUCAUUCUCGACUAUAGGGCUUCAGAUUUUUUGGGAUUGUGAAGAACAACACCAUUCGGGAUGUCGAAACGAGGACGAUGAGGUUCCAUCGGGAACAAGUUCAGAAUGACACUGGGUCUGCCGGUGGCGGUGACGGUGAACUGUGCCGAUAACACUGGUGCGAAGAACAUGUACAUCAUUUCUGUGAAAGGGAUCAAGGGAAGGCUUAACAGGUUGCCUUCAGCUUGUGUUGGAGAUAUGGUAAUGACUACUGUGAAGAAGGGUAAGCCAGAUCUCAGGAAGAAGGUUAUGCCUGCUGUCAUUGUUCGUCAGCGCAAGCCAUGUUGUUGGUUUCGCUCUUUCCGUCCAUCACUAGCCAAGGUUCAUUUGAGUUUGAGGUCACUAGUGAAGUCGGUUGUGGUGGAAUAGCUUAUUUCAGCUCGUCAUUGUCUCAGUCGCUGCUCAUAACGAGUUUGAAGAUUUCAAAGAAAGCAACCGUAGUGGAAGAACAUUAUAUCAAUUUCAGGGCUCUUUGUGUGGACUUUG